rnacentral:tRNA from 1 species
GACCCCAUAGCUUAGUUGAUUAAAGUGUCUGUCUAAUAAACAGGAGAUCCUGGGUUCG